CGUAUGUCCACACAAGCCUAAGAAGAGAUCUAGGAAGAGAUCUAUUGAGCCUGUGAAGCCAUACACGACCGGUCUCCCGCCCAAAAGAAGAAGCCCUUCCUUUGUUCCAGACACGCCUUACCCAGACACUGUAUCGGGUGUUCCUAACACCACUGCAGAGCAGCUAACGGCACGCAAAGACUUG